GGAGACCCCCAGCAUAUUGGAGAUGUCAGGAUCGUGGGGCAUUUGCCAGAGCAGAGAGCAGAUCAAGACAAGCAGAGUGAGGAGCUGGGGAAUGGAGCUGCCAGGGCCCUUUCGAAGCCCAGAGGAUCGGGAGUGGAUCUCAGGAGCCCACAGUUCACAGAGACUUGGGAUGUUUAAAAAAAAGAAAUGGAUAUGUUACAGAGACGAAGCUUUAAAAAUCUUGAAAAUUGCAAAGACUGUGGGACUUAACAAAAAAAACCAAAAAACAAAAAACAUAAAACAAAAAACACUGUACAGUUGGGUUAGGUGCGGUGGCUCGCGUCUUUAGACCCAGAGUGCAGGAGGCAGAAUAGAUGAGUCUCUUUGUGUUCUGGGCCAGCUAGGGCUCCAUAGUGAGACCAUCUCAAAAAUAACAGCCAGCCAUGGGUAUACCCGCCUUUCAUCCCUGCACUUGAAAAGCAGAGGCAGGCAGACCUCUAUGGGUUUAAGAUGGCUGGAUUAGCCUACAUAGUGAGUUGUGGGAGAGCAGAGCUUCAUACAUGGAUGGACCCUUUUGAAAUAAUAAAACAAACAAACAAACAAAAAACAACAAUG
rnacentral:lncRNA from 1 species